rnacentral:rRNA from 1 species
AGGUGAAAUUNGUAGAUAUUGGGAAGAACACCGGUGGCGAAGGCGGCCAUCUGGACCAUAACUGACGCUGAGGCGCGAAAGCGUGGGGAGCAAACAGGAUUAGAUACCCUGGUAGUCCACGCCGUAAACGAUGCGUGCUAGACGCUGGGCAGCCUAGCUGUUUCGGUGUCGUCGCUAACGCUUNAAGCACGCCGCCUGGGGAG